CGUUCCUCUAAGUAAAAAGAAUCGCGCGCCAAAUUGUGGUUUAUAGUGAGCCUCGAUUGUUUGUUAUGAAUUUAUGACAUUGCUUGCUUAAAAUCGGCAAUUUUCAGCAUAUUUUCAUCGACCAAGCCUUCCGGAUUCCUAAGAAAAUGUCCAAAUUUGUAAUGAUAAAAAAUUAUGCUCCAAUAUUUUUUGGAGUUUGAGAUUACAUCAAGCCGGUUGUGUUGAAAGUAUUUGUGAUUUAUAUGUGAUUUAGUUUUUAUUUGUUAAGUUUCGCGACAGUAAAUCGAAAAAAAAAAAAAAUGGAAUUAAACGUGAAGGAAACUUUGAAGUUCUUCGAAAAAACAAUUGACUUGAUCUCUGGUGAUUUUUUCUAGGAAGUAAUGCUUUUUGUUGAUAUACGCGUCGUAAAUUAAAGAUUAAACCAUGGAGGCAAAGGAGAAACCUCGAACAGCGGGACGAAUUGCUCCAACCGGACGUGUCACCUCAGCGGCUCACCAAACCGCUAAUGGAAGAAGAAAAGUUAUUCCUGUUCCACCACCUCGUAUUCCUACUCCCAUGCCCAUUGUCACUAAUAAUAAACAGAGAAAUAAUUCUAAUAUCGAAGUUUCACCAACAGUUUCUCAACAAAAAAAAGAACCGCAUGGGAAUAUUGUAAAAAUUGCCAAGAGAUAUUUGGACGAUAAUAUGCAGCAAGUAUGGAUAAAUCCUCGUCUGAUAUCUAUGAUCAAUAUGGAGGCUGUCACUUCAACAGAUUAUGAUUCAGCAAACCUCAGUCGCAAUUUUAAUCAAAUUGGCUUCAGCACUUACAACUAUUCCCAAUUUGAAGAGAAGUACAGAGCUCAGCAGAAUAGUAAAUAUCCCAAUGAUUUCCCAGAGGGUGGGAGUUCUGGAAGACUUGGAACAAUUAGUCAAACAUUGUCUUGCCAGCCCAACGACUUUGUCGAUUAUUUUCAUCCUAAGUAUCCACGUAGUCAUUCACAACCUGAAAAACAGCAUUCAUUAUCCAACGAAGUGAGAUCCAAGUCACAAAAUUCACGAGAACUAACAUUUUAUCAAAUUGAAUCAGGAUUACCUAAACAUGAAAGUCGUCAUAGCAAAUGUCAUCGAUCAGGCAAUGAAAAGACACAUGAUGGUGGAACAAGUAUUGAGGAUAAGAAAGAAUUGAAGUUAGUUUCAUCAGAUAAAAACGAAAAACGAGAGAAGACGGCUGUCAAACACAAUCAUACCAAGCCAGAACCAAAGAUUAAUGGAACUGGUAAUCAUCAACUGAAUAAGAUUGAAAUAGCCGAAUGUCAUGUCGCCAAUCAUCAAGUGGAGGCUUUAAAGUAUCGUCAGUUUGAUAGGCCUCCUAAGUAUCAAGAACAUGCGCCAAAAGAUUCCUUCAGAUUUGAACCAGCCCCGAGGUAUCUACAGGAUCCACCAAAAUAUUCUGAUGUCAUUAGACGACCGGAUGAUGUAAAAAAAAUUCAGGAGGAGAAGGGACGACGACAAGUGGGGGUUCGGGGCGGGAGUGGUCUUGGUAGUGAGACGCCCGUUAAUCUAGUCAGUACCACGCCGACUGCGCGAGAAGCAACGCGUGGCGUUAUGACCCGCCACCGUCAAAUGCAUAAACAGGACGUGCAUGUGGAUCGGAUUAAGUCUGAUGAUUCUGCUGAGAUUAAUGAUGACAAUUUGAAGCACAUGGAGCAACAGAUCAAAGCAUGUGAUCAGAGUCGAACUAACUUUAAUGGAGGCAUUAUUCUUGGUGUUAAUGCUGGUGGAGUUAUAUGUCCUGAUGUGAUGCUGGAUAAUAACGAAGCCAAACUUUAUAAACAAGGAACUGGAGAUUAUUUGAAACAAAGUGAUGGUCAAAAUAAAUUAAACGACAAAUCAGUGACUAAAAUGGAUAAAUUGAAAGGUGAAUCUGAUGGUAAAGCAGGGGAAAAAAGUCGAUUAGGACGAGAACAAUUGCACAAACAUGAGGGAUCGAAAUCGAAAAGCAAUCACGAGCCUGCAGUUAUUAGCCACGUGGGCUAUAAGGUCGACAAUCUCAAGUAUUACGGUGAGCUCAAGGGAUUUAAGUCUUAUGGAGCUAUCGAUAAGCCGCCCGCUUUAACACAUGAGAAGACACAUCAAUAUGAGUCGUCUGAGAAAGUUAUCUAUCCUAGUAAUCAUGACAAAAAUCAUCCGCGUUCAGCACAAGGUCAUUGCUCUGCUAAGUCUGUUGAUAAAAGUGAAAGAGUUCAUAGUGAUAAAUAUGGUGAUCAUUAUUAUCAUCGUUAUGGUUAUCCAAAGUCAUUAAAUGUCCUGCCAAUGUUUCAAGAGACUAAAUAUUCGUAUGCAGUUAAAGGUACACCUGGAACACCAUCUCAAGCGAGUGCUGCUGCGGCCUUCUUCGCACGAGCUGCACAGAAAUGGAAUCUCUCGUCAAGUCCCCACCGACGACGACGCUCUGGAGAUGAAAAUAUUGGCACAGAUGAGCACCCAAUUUUUCCGAAUGGUUACGCUGCACUUCUCAACAAGUCUCCGCCACCUGCACCACCGGCUUUUCUACGGAGGAUUGGUAUGAAAGAGCUCACUGGUGUUGGAAAGGUAAAAGUGAUGCUAAGAGUAUCAUCAGGGAAAGGCGGUAGUUUUUUCAAUGCUGACAAAAGGAAGAAACAAGUAACACUGAUCGAUCCAACUGCUGGGCAAUCUUCAACAGCAGAAGAUCGAAGACCAACUGUUGCAGCACCAAAGAUGUUCGCAUUUGACGCUAUCUUCACCGAGGAAGACUCUCAGAUAGAAAUUUGCUCGAGUGCUCUGACUGACGUGAUUCACGCUGUUAUCAAUGGAACUGAUGGCUGUCUGUUUUGUUUCGGUCACGCAGGUCUAGGUAAAUCGCAUACAAUGCUGGGAACUCCAGAAGCUGGUCAUACCCUUGGUGCUAUUCCUUGUGCGAUUACAUGGCUUUUUAGAGGAAUUUCGGAGCAGCGACAAAAAACAGGAGCAAGAUUUAGUGUUCGAGUGAGCUGCGUUGAAUUAACAACUGGACAACAACAGUUGAAGGAUCUUCUUGCGGCUUAUGCUAAUGAUUCGGAGCAGUCACCAGCAGUGUAUCUGAGAGAUGAUCCCCUAUUUGGCACUCUGCAACUUCAGCAACAUAGUGAACUGCGUGCUCCGACUGCUGAACGUGCUGCGUUCUAUCUGGAUGCAGCAGUAGCUGGUCGACAAUGUGAAGAUAGUGAUGCACACAUGUUAUAUACACUUCACGUCUAUCAGUACAGUGUGGCAGGCAAGGGUGGAGUUGCCGGAGGAAGAAGCAGACUCCAUUUGAUGGACUUGGGUAAUUCAGAUCGAGGAAAAGCUGCGGGUGGGAUUCCAUUAUCUGGACUGGGUAAUAUCUUACUGGCUAUUUUCAAUGGUCAGAAGCAUUUACCUUACAAAGAGCACAAGUUAACACAACUGUUAAAAGAGUGUCUGGGAUCAUUAACUUGUCACGCUGCCAUGAUUGCUCAUGUUUCCCCUAACGCUCAACACUAUACUGAGACGUUAACAACGGUCCAGUUGGCUUCUCGAAUUCAUCGGAUGAGACGUCGGAAGAUUAAGUUCAAUAGUGGUGUUGGUCAAGGAAACGGAAGCAGUGGGAGUUCUGGAGAAGAAGCUGCAAGGCAAAAUAGCGAAUGUGAUCCAAGUUCAAGUGAUUUGUCAGCUGACACGGUAAUUUAUGUCGGACCAGGAGCUGAAGACGCAACUGAUGGAGAACAUCCACCUGUCUAUUUACCAAGUUUAAAUUCAGGGGACAACCGCUGUGCCAUGGGACGAGCCUUACGAGGAUCAGCAGUUGAUAGACCGUCUAAAUCCUCUGAGGAACGUAGUCCAGCACAUAAAGUAACUAAAGCUGUAAAGUCAUUGACUCAGACAGCUUCGAAACAAACUUCACCAGCACAUAGUUCGACACCUAAAGCUAGUCCAGCAAGAAAAGCUUCAGCUUGUAAAACAUCGAGUGCCAAAGUAACAGACUCGCCAACAAAUAGUAAAAUACCUGUGGCUGCUACUUCUGCAGCUGGUGGUUCUGAUGAACAAUGGAUUGAUGGUCCACGAAUAUCUAAAUCAAAAGUGGCAGAAGCUAGACAUCUAUUUAAAGAUUCCCAUCACAAACGAGAAACUUGGAUUGAUGGUCCAAUGCAGCUCACGAGCACACCGCUUGUUCAUAGUCAACAGCACUCCACUGGCUAUGGUUUUAUGGACAAUCACAAGAAGAUUAUGAUAAGAAAGUGGGUGGAGAAUCAGUCGUCACAGAUUCAACGCGCGAAGCACGCGGCAUCGAGAUCAGAAUCUAAAUCAGGCCAAUCAUUUGGUAUUUUCAAGGAAAUAACGAGUUUCAAGAUGUGCGAUGAUAAUGAGGAUGAUACGUCACUGUCGACUGUAGGCAGUGAUAGUUUAAAAACGACUGACGCUGAAGAUAUUACGGAAAAAGUAGGAGUCAGACUAAAUUUACUCAAUGUCAAAUCUAACACAGAUUCGGGUUUGGAUCUCACAGCAAGUCCAGUGCUUGAUGAUAGUAUCGACAAGUGUCGCGGUUUAGAUACACAAGAUGAAGAAGAUGAUGAUGAGGAAAUUGUCGUGCCACCUCCGCUACCACUCAUCGAGCCAUUGAGUAAUGGUGUGAGCAGGGAAGUUUCUAUGGAGAGUCUUAAUUUGUCGCAUAAAGAUAUUGUUCUGCCCUCCAGGCACUCAUUAUCUUCUGAAGACGAAAUUCUAGAGAUUGUAGAGGUUGAAGAUCUUGAACCUGUACCUAUGCAAGAUUCUUGUCUACAAGUUACUGAAGAAGACAUUGCCUUGUGCAUGGGUGAAAAUCCUUUACCAGAAAGCGAUCAAGAAGAACAUCCACUCAGGAUCUUAAGUCAAGAAAACUUAACCAUCGUCUCGACAUUUACUGAUUCCAUGUCCGUCAUGUCAGAUAGUGAACGCUAUAAGCCUCAGUUUCCAUCGUCAAUAGGUACAGGUGUUCUACCAAGACCGUACUUUGACCAUGAGGACUUUCUUGAACAGGAAACUCGCCACAAGUUUGAUCAAUUGGCUCGACUUCAUGAACUCUACCAAAGUAAACUUGCCCUAGCCAAUGUCUCUAAUUCAGUGACUUAUCAAAGAGAAAAUUCAUCUGUUAUUAGUGUCCGCGACGUUCCUUCUGCAAAUGUCUUCCGUCCACCAUCUCGCUGCCAAUCUCUGUCACUCACAGAUGUUCUGUUCAAUGAUAAUGCAAGCAACCACGGCAGCAUUUAUAGUGAGCCAGCAUAUAUUGCUGGUAAAGAUGAGCAAGAAAAAAUCUGCGAUAAUUGCCGACAAAGCAUGUCACGUCCAGCUACAGCUUCUUACUGGUAUCCUAGUAGUGUAGCUCACUUAGCCAGUCCACGAAGAUAUUGCGGAAAAUUGGGGGAGUGCAAUAUUUCUAGUCUCAGGCACCCCGAUGGUGCUUCUAAUCCUAAUUUAAAGGAGGAAAUUGAAAGGAUACCCGGAAAUGGAGCAUCAGGAUCGGACCCUGAAGAAGAGUAUAUUGAAGCGAAAAAACUGUUUACUACAUCCGAGAGAACUGAAAGGACUGUCACUGGAAAAUCAGAUAUUGAAGAAGAAACGAAAGUUCCAGUUAACGUUCCUCUACAAUUGUCCAUUCCGUCCUCACUACCGUCCUCUGGCCGAAUGCAACGUAAAAUACUAAGUUUGGGCUCAUCCCUUGGUCUGAAUCGAGAGAGUUAUGAUUCUGGUGCAGAUUCAACACCUCGGGCUGCAAAACUUUCCCCGGCGACUCUCUCAAGGCAUCGUGCUGAAAGUUCCGGUUAUGACAGCGUAGUUAGAGACAGUGAAAUCAGUAGUAUUGCUAGUGAUUCAUCAAGGCAAACUAGUGCUCUUCAAGAGCAUCAAGGUGGCGCACUGGGGGUUCUAACGUCGACGUUGUGCGGAUGUUUCAGCGGUGGGACAGCUGGCAGAGUUCGUGCAACACGUUCAACAGGAAGUACCCGUGGCAAUUCUCGCUUACACAGGCGAGGACGUGGAAAUCUUGGAUCGACGCGGGCGAAUACGCUCGGAACCACGUGGAGUAAUGUUCAAGAUAAACAACCUUCGUCUGCGCCAACGGCUUCUUAAAAUUGAACUCCGUGAUGCCAAAAGACGACUUUUGAUUCCAGAUGAUCGGUGGAGUUAUGACUUACACGUAGAAAAUAGUAUGGAUUGGAAAGAUUCAGCAUUUAUCGAAGCACUGGAGGCUGAAACCUUGAUACUGCAAAAGAGAGUUGAAGCUUGCAAGAGUCACGUACUCCUUGUGACAUGCUUUGAUUCAUAUCCACAUUU
rnacentral:misc_RNA from 1 species